rnacentral:lncRNA from 1 species
GUGGGCAAAUGGGGCUAAAUUUUACCUUCUUAUAAGAAAUCUUAUACGUGUCUUCGCCGAAGUCCGCGUUUGUCUAAUGUUGCUAUUACGGAGUUCGUUUCACAUACGAAUUUUAAAUUUACAUGUAUCCGUCAAAUCCGUGAAUAAAAUUAAAGAACGGACUGAUCGAUAACUCUCACAUGGCUUAUUAGACGUAUCAUCG